AUGUACCAUAUCCACUGUUCAGUAAUCUUUUCCUUUUGGCCUGGAUUAGUCUACUCAACUGUUCCUUGUCCAGAAAGCAUGCCAGGGCUUUGCUCACCCCCAUUACCAUGCACUGAACCUUUUCCAGCCCUGCUGCGCUUUGCAAUGGGAGACCCAAGCCAUGCUCAACAUUUGAAGUGUGGGCAUGGAUUAUACAUCUCUCUUCCUUAUGGGGAUGGAUUUUAUUCCCAUUGGGGUAAAUCCCCUCAUUUCUCAGUGCAAUCCUGCUGUAGCCAGGGAGGGCAUCAGGGAUGGACUCGGUGCCCAAAAGCUGCUCAUUUUCUCAAGCUCCAUCCGAAGGUCUCAUGGGGUAUGUUCUCCCUCCUGAAAACCAUGCCACCAUCUCGCAGGAUGUUGUUUCUCUUCUCAGCUAAAGGGAGAACUAUCUUGAGUGCUGGCUUACCUUCAGUCCUGAUGUGCUUGCCAGUACCUGGGACAUCCAACCACUCCAGUAAUAAUUCCAACAGCAGUGGUACCAGAGUUGUUUCCAUGCCAUGCUGCCCGUUGGCACUCAGGCUUCCAGGCCUCAUGCCGGCCCUGUUUGCCAAGAAAACCCCCACACUGGCCAGGGUGUGAUCAGUGUCAGCGAUGCUGCAGGUGGCUGGGCCAGGAGGGCGGACCUGGGGCCAGGACUGUGUUGGGCACCACGGGGCCAAGAUGAGACACAAGUCCCAUUGCUGCUGAGCACAGGGUAGUCAGACUCUGGUGUUGUGCAUGCUUCCCUGCUCCCCUGGCACGAUCAAAGCCCUUCAAAGAACCACAGAAUGGUUGAGAAUGAAGCAGCUCCAGCCCCUGCUACAGCCGGGGUGCCCAGGGCGGGGUUCCCAGGGUGAGGUCCCAGCGGCUUCUGGUCUCCCAGGAGGAGCCCCCGCAGCCUCUCCUGUGCCAGCUCCGCCACCGCCAGGGCACAGAGGCGCUUCCCGGCGGUCAGAGGGCACCUCCCGGGCCCCGCUUCGUGCCCGGUGCCCCUGGGCCCGGCUCUGUCCUCCCCGCGGGGAUUUACGGGCACGGCCAGGAUCCCCGCAGCCUCCAGGCUGAGCAGCCCCAGCUCCCGCAGCCUCUCCUCCCAGAGGAGCUGCUCCGGUCCCCCCACCUUCGUGGCCCUCCCCUGGGCUCUCUGCAGCCUGCCUGGCCUCUCUGGUACUGGGGGCCUGGCAGCAGUCCCAGCACUGUGCGGGCGGCCCCAGCAGUGAGGAGCAGAGGGGCAGGAUCCCCUCCUUCUGCCUGCAGGCAAUCCCUCGCCUGGUUCAGCUCAGGCCACCACCAGCCUUCCUCGCUGUAGGGCCCGCUGCUGGCUCCUGCUCAGUUUGGGGCCCCACAGGACCCCAGGGCCUUUCCUGCAGAACAGCUUCUCAGUCAGGUGCCCCCAGUCUGGGCUGGGCUUGGCACUUCUGCUGCCUGAGCUCCAUUAGCCUCUUACCAACCUAUUUCUCCAGCCUCCAGUAGAAACUGACCC
rnacentral:lncRNA from 1 species